CCCAGGAAGUCAGUGCCGGGGCGGGGCGCGCUGUGAGGACUGAGGUCUGCAGCGAAGCCGAGGCCAGCCCCGUGGUCUUCGCUACCUUCGGCAACCAACGCCCAGAGAAGGGACAUCCCUGUAGAAGUUCUGCUGCAUGUGGUCCAGCCGACCCCACUCCUCCCGGGAGAGGUACAAGGCCACAUCCUCAAAAGUCACUGGCAUCUGAAACAAUAUGAAACAUCCACUCUCCAGGACAUGCCGUGGACACGGUGGAGGGACACCGUGUCAUGAGAUGUGUGGUGAGACCCCGGACUCCCAACCUGCUGUCUCUAGUGAGGCCUGCCACUUCCAUCUGAUGGGGAAGCAGAAUACGAGAGGACACAGAGACACAGAGAAGGAAGCAGAGACUGGAGGGAUGCCCACAUCAAGGACACCAGGAGCCCCCAGGAGCUGGAAGAGGCACGAGACGAUCCUCUUAGUCUAGAGCUUUCAAAAGGUGUGUGACCCUUCCAACACAUCGAUUUUGGACUUCAGUCCUCCAGAACUGUGAGAGAGCCAAUUCUGGUUGUUUUCAGCCCCCUAGAGGGUGGAAACUUGUUACAGCAGCCACGGGAGACUAACACACCAGGGCUGAGGAUGAGACAACACCCCAUGACCACGUAGCUCAAAAGCUUUGGGAAAGUCAGGGAGGGCCCUGGUGGGGCCUCAUCCACAGCACAGGGACUGGCUGGCCUUCUGCUGGGGACUCACACCCCUUCCUCCAUGCCCUGUCUGUGUUUGGGUCUUGAAGGGAAAGAACCUCAGGCCAUGAGUCAGGGUGCCUGGGUGCCAGACCCAGCGACACCCCUACCCAACCAGGCAGCCUUCAGGACGCAGCUGCUCUGCCCCUGCACAGAGCGGUCAUGAGGUUCACACAGAUAAUGAUGGAGAAGGAGCUGACGGCUCAGGAAAGUCCUGGAUAAACACAGGGCAGUGGUGGUCAUUAUUCCCCUCCCUGUGCGCACCAGACAGAAGCCAGCGCCAGCAGAGAAUGCCAAAGUGUGGGGCUCUACGGACAUGCACAAGGUGUUCAAGUCACACGGGAAGUAGAUGGGAAACUGAACGAUGCUAACAACUCUUUGUGCUGCUAUGGUAUGAAAACCAUAGAUGAUGGCGUCUCAUGCCUAUUAUCCUUAGAACCUCCCCAUGACCCUGCGAGACAGGUGGGAACGGCAGGCAUGUGGUCUGGUUCCCAGAGGCCAGGGACUGGCCCCUGGCCUGUCGAUGACUCACGCUCCUCCCACUCCAAGCCCGAAGACCCAGGUUCCCCACAAAUAGUAAUUACACACACACACACACUGGUAGCAGGUACGAGAAGGAGGAAGGACGGGAGCUCGGACCCAGUGAGAUGAGAAGCUGUGGUUACAGAUGGAGAAGCACAGGGAAGAACAGGUUUCCCUGUGUGCUCUGAGCGCUGCUCAGAAAGAAAACCUCACCAAUAGGACCCCCACCCAGACCCC